AGACACCUUCUGUAAUCACAUAUACUCAUUUGGAGGUGAGGUGGCCAGUUUUGUGCACAGUAUUCAAGCUCCAGCUCCUGGAAUCAUGUGAUUAAAAUGAGAGCUGUGAUUCUCACAUAAAUAAAGGACUUAUCUAUCAGACAGCAUAGGCAAACCUGAAGAUCAUCUGAAAACCUUACCUGAGUUGCAUUAAGCAGG